AGACUUACCCGGCAAGGGGGGGGGGUACACACCACAACAAUGAAGGUGGUUUUCCUGCUUUCUGUUGUGCUCGAAGUGUGCUGACCCCUGACAUUUCUCCAAAUUUGGGAAACUUGAAUGUAUUAUUUAUGGUAGUGGGGGACUACAUUCAUGAUUUCUCUUA
ensembl:snRNA U1 U1 spliceosomal RNA